UCAGAUGCUCUCAAUGGCAUUAAGCUUGAGUGGGGGUGGGCACAUGUAUUGUGAUGUCACAGGUUCCAGACCUGCAGCCCCUUGAGUCAGGACCAGAGGAGGCACAAGUGGGAGCACAGAGGAGGGAGCCACCAUGAGAUGACAAGAGACCCAGGGAAGCCGGAAGAUGGCAGAGCAGGAGCCAGGGUGAGGCUUCUGGAUCAGAGACCACCCCCACAGAGCCUGCAACCACAGGACCCCCAUUUACAGACAACCAACAAACACUUAGCACCACAACCAAGAAGCCCCAGCAGAGGGGAGUGGGAGCUCAGGGAUGUAUGGCUGCCAGCUGUGGGAGCUCAGAAGAAGGGGGGCCAACUGCAACCCUGCCAUGGGGAUGGUACCCCAGGAUUGACAUCAGCCAGGUUGGAGGCUUCUGCACCACAGCAUGCCAACAGAGGGCCUGCAUUCACAGCCCAACAGUCAAAGACAAUAUAAAGAAGCCCCUGAGGAGGGAUUUUAAAAGCCACAAGAGAAAAAUUGCAUGUCACAUUUAAAGAUAAGCUAACAAGGUUUUCUUCAGAUCUCUCAGCCUGACAUUAAAAGCCAGGAGGACUUGAAAUAAUACACACCAACCUCUAAAGAUAAUGAGUACCAAUCAAGAUUACUAUAUUCUGCAAAAAACUAGACUUCAUAAUUGAAGGUGAAAUACACCCUUCCAUGAUAAGCAGAAAUAAAAAGAAUUCAUAACUAUUAAUCCCAUGCUACAAAGCACACUUCAUAAAGUAAUACAUGCAGAAUACAUUAAAAAUAAAUGCCAGAUUCAACAUAUGAAUGAAUGUUGCUAGAAGAAAAAUCAAGGGAAAGUCACUCUCAAUCAUAGGAAUAUAACAUAAUAGCAGGAAAUAAAAAAUGAUAUCUCUAUAGUAACACUAUAUGAAUGGUUUAAACUCUCCCAUCACAAGAUAUAGAUUGACAUAGUGGAUUACAAAAGAAGACCCAAUGAUGUUGUUGAUAAGACUCUAUAGGCAAAGACAUCCAAUGCAAAUGGAGGCCAACAGUGAGCAAGAGUACCUACUCUCACAUAUUAGACAAAAUAGUCUAGCUAAAGUUAUUCAGAAGACAUCAAGAAGGUCAAUUCAUAAUGGUUGAAGGAAUCAUCGAACAAGAAAGAAUGGGAGUGAAUGUUCAUGUCUCAAACAUUGGUGCACCGACAAACCAUUAAAACCAAUAAAGCCAUAAAACCA